rnacentral:rRNA from 1 species
UACGUAGGGGGCGAGCGUUGUCCGGAUUUAUUGGGCGUAAAGAGCUCGUAGGCGGCUUGGCAAGUCGGGUGUGAAAACUCUAGGCUCAACCUGGAGACGCCACUCGAUACUGCCAUGGCUAGAGUCCGGUAGGGGACCACGGAAUUUCUGGUGUAGCGGUGAAAUGCGCAGAUAUCAGGAGGAACACCGGUGGCGAAGGCGGGUCUCUGGGCAGUAACUGACGCUGAGGAGCGAAAGCGUGGGGAGCGAACAGG